rnacentral:rRNA from 1 species
GGACAGACGGGGACAUUCGUAUUGCGGCGCUAGAGGUGAAAUUCUUGGACCGUCGCAAGACGAACUAAGGCGAAAGCAUUUGUCAAGAAUGUUUUCAUUAAUCAAGAACGAAAGUUGGAGGUUCGAAGGCGAUCAGAUACCGCCCUAGUUCUAACCAUAAACGAUGCCAGCCAGCGAUUAGCCUGAGUUCCUUAAAUGACUCGGCUAGCAGCUUCCGGGAAACCAAAGCUUUUCGGUUCCGGGGGAAGUAUGGUUGCAAAGCUGAAACUUAAAGGAAUUGACGGAAGGGCACCACCAGGAGUGGAGCCUGCGGCUUAAUUUGACUCAACACGGGAAAACUUACCUGGUCAGGACACUGGAAGGAUUGACAGAUUGAGAGCUCUUUCUUGAUUCAGUGGGUGGUGGUGCAUGGCCGUUCUUAGUUGGUGGAGCGAUUUGUCUGGUUAAUUCCGAUAACGAACGAGACUCUAGCCUACUAAAUAGACUGCUCAACUUUAUAGCUGCAUCACCUUGCAGUUGCUUCGGUGGCUGUAAGGCUGUGGUGACGUUGGCAGUGCUUCUUAGAGGGACAGGCGGCGGUUCAGCCGCACGAAACAGAGCAAUAACGGGUCUGUGAUGCCCUUAGAUGUCCAGGGCCGCACGCGCGCUACACUGAAGUGAUCAGCGUGCAAUUAACGUUUCCUACUCCGUCAGGAGUGGGUAACCCGUUGAACCUUCUUCGUGAUUGGGAUAGGGGAUUGUAAUUAUUCCCCUUGAACGAGGAAUUCCCAGUAAGCGCAAGUCAUAAGCUUGCGUUGAUUACGUCCCUGCCCUUUGUACACACCGCCCGUCGCUAC